CGGGACGGGUGAGUAAUGUAUGGGGAUCUGCCUGAUGGCGGGGGAUAACUACUGGAAACGGUAGCUAAUACCGCAUAACGUCGCAAGACCAAAGAGGGGGACCUUCGGGGCCUCUUGCCAUCGGAUGUGCCCAGAUGGGAUUAGCUAGUAGGUGGGGUAACGGCUCACCUAGGCGACGAUCCCUAGCUGGUCUGAGAGGAUGACCAGCCACACUGGAACUGAGACACGGUCCAG
rnacentral:rRNA from 1 species